UUUCGCGCUUCAAUGGGUGUCAAAAUGGCAGCCCCCUUGUUUUGUAACUUCGCGCAGUUUCAUGCGUUAUCUCCUCUCUCCAUGUCUCUGAUUCACAUACCUACAUCCAAUAUACACGUCAACGCUAAUAUCCAAAGUGCCACUGUUAAUUUACGCUUCUGUUUUAAUUGUUCUUUUUACAUGUGUGUUUGAUUCCAUUCAUGUAUAAUAAAUCCCAUGUAUCUACAAUGUCUAGAUACUUUGGAAAAAGAUGUAUCACACGGCAAGUCCUUAGGGAUUGCUAUCCUGGCGGCGGAUGGACAUCUUCGCCAGUGAUGUCUAUCCCAAGGAAUGCGAGCGACGGCACUCCAAAUUGGCAUUUGGCAUGCGGUAACAAUUGAUUUGUUUUAAAAUUUAAAUCAAAGUGAGUGCAAUAUGAAGGCCUCAAACUCAUAACUUUGUACGUUAACGCACUUCACCUCUCACUUCUUGUUUUGCGUAAUUUUAUAAUUUAUAUUUAUGCAAUUAACUUGUAUAAUGAUCCACUGUUUAUUGCUGCUCAAUUGUUACCCUAAGCUGACUAUAGUUGGCUAUAUCUUCAAAACAGUCGAGAAUAAAAAUAGUUUAUUAGC